rnacentral:rRNA from 1 species
CGAACGCUGGCGGCGUGCUUAACACAUGCACGUCGAACGGAAAGGACCUGCUUUUGUGGGGUGCUCGAGUGGCGAACGGGUGAGUAACACGUGAGUAACCUGCCCUUGACUUUGGGAUAACUUCAGGAAACUGGGGCUAAUACCGGAUAGGAGCUCCUGCUGCAUGGUGGGGGUUGGAAAGUUUCGGCGGUUGGGGAUGGACUCGCGGCUUAUCAGCUUGUUGGUGGGGUAGUGGCUUACCAAGGCUUUGACGGGUAGCCGGCCUGAGAGGGUGACCGGCCACAUUGGGACUGAGAUACGGCCCAGACUCCUACGGGAGGCAGCAGUGGGGAAUAUUGCACAAUGGGCGGAAGCCUGAUGCAGCAACGCCGCGUGCGGGAUGACGGCCUUCGGGUUGUAAACCGCUUUCGCCUGUGACGAAGCGUGAGUGACGGUAAUGGGUAAAGAAGCACCGGCUAACUACGUG